AAUGAACGCUGGCGGCAUGCUUUACACAUGCAAGUCGAACGGCAGCACGACCUAUCUGCCUGGGUCGAGGGCGGGACGCGAACGGGUGAGAUAUGCAUCGGCACAUGCCUGGUUGUGGGGGCUUACGUAGCGGUGGUUAUGCUACUACCGCACAUUCGCUGCGGGGGGGAGCAGGGGAGCCCCGGGCCGCGCGCAAGGACAGCGGCCGAUGUCGGAUUAGCUAGUUGGUGAGGUAAAGGCACACCAAGGCCACGAUCCGUAGCGGGUCUGAGAGGAUGAUCCGCCACACUGGGACUGAGACACGGCCCAGACUCCUACGGGAGGCAGCAGUGGGGAAUUUUGGACAAUGGGCGCAAGCCUGAUCCAGCCAUGCCGCGUGAGUGAAGAAGGCCUUCGGGUUGUAAAGCUCUUUCGGCUGGGAAGAAAUCGCACCCUCUAAUACAGGGUGUGGAUGACGGUACCAGCAUAAGAAGCACCGGCUAACUACGUG
rnacentral:rRNA from 1 species